rnacentral:rRNA from 1 species
GUGGGGAAUCUUCCGCAAUGGGCGCAAGCCUGACGGAGCAAUGCCGCGUGAACGAAGAAGGUCUUCGGAUUGUAAAGUUCUGUCCUUAUCGAAGAGAGGGUAUAGAGUGAAAAAUGAUAUACUAGGACGGUAGAUGAGGAGGAAGCCCCGGCUAACUACGUGCCAGCAGCCGCGGUAAUACGUAGGGGGCGAGCGUUGUCCGGAAUCACUGGGCGUAAAGGGCGCGUAGGCGGUAAUAUAAGUCAGAUGUGAAAGGUGGGGGCUCAACCCCUAGAGUGCAACUGAUACUGUAUAACUUGAGUGUGAGAGAGGGAAGCGGAAUUCCUAGUGUAGCGGUGAAAUGCGUAGAUAUUAGGAGGAACACCAGUGGCGAAGGCGGCUUUCUGGCUCAUAACUGACGCUGAGGCGCGAAAGCGUGGGGAGCAAACAGG